rnacentral:rRNA from 1 species
CACGUAGGCACCAAGCGUUGUCCGGAUUUAUUGGGCGUAAAGAGCUCGUAGGCGGUUCAGUAAGUCGGGUGUGAAAACUUUGGGCUUAACCCAAAGCGUGCAUCUGAUACUGCUGUGACUUGAGUUCGGUAGGGGAGUGGGGAAUUCCUAGUGUAGCGGUGAAAUGCGCAGAUAUUAGGAGGAACACCCGUAGCGAAGGCGGCACUCUGGGCCGAUACUGACACUGAGGAGCGAAAGCGUGGGGAGCGAACAGG